GACGAACGCUGGCGGCGUGCUUAACACAUGCAAGUCGUACGGUAAGGCCCUUUCGGGGGUACACGAGUGGCGAACGGGUGAGUAACACGUGAGUAACCUGCCCACAACUUUGGGAUAACGCUCGGAAACUGGUGCUAAUACUGGAUAUGUGCUCCUGCUGCCUGGUGGGGGUUGGAAAGCUCCGGCGGUUGUGGAUGGACUCGCGGCCUAUCUGCUUGUUGGUGGGGUAGUGGCCUACCAAGGCGGCGACGGGUAGCCGGCCUGCGAGGGUGACCGGCCACAUUGGGACUGAGAUACGGCCCAGACUCCUACGGGAGGCAGCAGGGGGGAAUAUUGCACAAUGGGCGCAAGCCUGAUGCAGCAACGCCGCGGGCGGGAUGACGGCCUUCGGGUUGUAAACCGCUUUCAGCAGGGACGAAGCUUUUUGUGACGGUACCUGCAGAAGAAGCACCGGCUAACUACGUG
rnacentral:rRNA from 1 species